UCUGGGAAACUGCCUGAUGGAGGGGGAUAACUACUGGAAACGGUGGCUAAUACCGCAUAACGUCGCAAGACCAAAGAGGGGGACCUUCGGGCCUCUUGCCAUCAGAUGUGCCCAGAUGGGAUUAGCUUGUUGGUGAGGUAACGGCUCACCAAGGCGACGAUCCCUAGCUGGUCUGAGAGGAUGACCAGCCACACUGGAACUGAGACACGGUCCAGACUCCUACGGGAGGCAGCAGUGGGGAAUAUUGCACAAUGG
rnacentral:rRNA from 11 species